GUUCCUAUGGUGCAGUGGUUAGCAUGGUGCUCUUGUAAGUCGAACCGAAAAUUGCCUAUUGGGAAAGCCUGGCGAAGCCUGUUCUAACACCCGAAUCAGAUAGACUCAGAGGCGGCGCAAGUCCCUUUGUUCCUAUGACAGUAAUGCACAGGUCGUGGGUUCGAACCCCACUAGGAACA
rfam:Sporothrix schenckii ATCC 58251 unplaced genomic scaffold supercont1.5, whole genome shotgun sequence.